rnacentral:rRNA from 1 species
CCGCUGAACUUAAGCAUAUAACUAAGCGGAGGAGAAGAAACUAACCAGGAUUCCCCUAGUAACUGCGAGUGAAGCGGGAAGAGCUCAGACUGAAAAUCUUCGGAGUUGUAGUCUGUCGAGGUCAAGUCAAUCAGUGUCGUCGAGCGAAGUGUGGUUGAAUCCACUGCCGAGGAGGGUGAAAGCCCCGUGCCCGCUUGAAUGUAUCUGGUGUACGACUGGCCUUCAACGAGUCGAGUUGUUUGGGAUUGCAGCUCUAAGCGGGUGGUAAAUUCCAUCUAAAGCUAAAUAUGGGUGGGAGACCGAUAGCGAACAAGUACCGUGAGGGAAAGAUGAAAAGAACUUUGAAAAGAGAGUUAAAAAGUACCUGAAAUUGCUGAAAAGGAAUCGAAAGGAGGCAGUGUUGGUCUGCUAUCAUAUACGGGCUCUGCGUGCAGGGUUUGUGAUGGUGGUGGACAAGUCAGGCUUGCUUGUGUGUGCGGGAGAGGGUCAUCGGGCUUUAUGCUGGUGUUUCCUGCCGUGCGUGCGAGCGACCUCUGACGAAAUGCCUCUUUUCAUCCCGUCUUGAAACACGG